UACGUAGGGCGCAAGCGUUGUCCGGAAUUAUUGGGCGUAAAGAGCUCGUAGGCGGCCUGUUGCGUCCGCUGUGAAAUCCCGGGGCUCAACCCCGGGCCUGCAGUGGAUACGGGCUGGCUAGAGGCAGGCAGGGGAGAACGGAAUUCCUGGUGUAGCGGUGAAAUGCGCAGAUAUCAGGAGGAACACCGGUGGCGAAGGCGGGUCUCUGGGCCGACAUUGACGCUGAGGAGCGAAAGCGUGGGGAGCGAACAGG
rnacentral:rRNA from 1 species